UACGGAGGUUGCAAGCGUUGUUCGGAAUUACUGGGCGUAAAGGGAGCGCAGGCGGUUAGGUCAGUCUGAAGUGAAAGCCCGGGGCUCAACCCCGGAAGUGCUCUGGAUACUGCCUAACUUGAGUACGUGAGAGGAGAGCGGAAUUCCAGGUGUAGCGGUGAAAUGCAUAGAUAUCUGGAGGAACACCGGUGGCGAAAGCGGCUCUCUGGCACGCUACUGACGCUGAGGCUCGAAAGCGUGGGGAGCGAACGGG
rnacentral:rRNA from 1 species